AGCCUACACAUGCAGUCGAGCGGCACCUUCGGGUGUAGCGGCGGACGGGUUAGUAACGCGUGGGAAUAUACCCUUCACUACGGAAUAGCCUCGGGAAACUGGGAGUAAUACCGUAUACGCCCUUUUGGGGAAAGAUUUAUCGGUGAAGGAUUAGCCCGCGUCUGAUUAGAUAGUUGGUGGGGUAAUGGCCUACCAAGUCUACGAUCAGUAGCUGGUUUGAGAGGAUGAUCAGCAACACUGGGACUGAGACACGGCCCAGACUCCUACGGGAGGCAGCAGUGGGGAAUCUUAGACAAUGGGCGCAAGCCUGAUCUAGCCAUGCCGCGUGAGUGACGAAGGCCUUAGGGUCGUAAAGCUCUUUCGCCAGAGAUGAUAAUGACAGUAUCUGGUAAAGAAACCCCGGCUAACUCCGUGCCAGCAGCCGCGGUAAUACGGAGGGGGUUAGCGUUGUUCGGAAUUACUGGGCGUAAAGCGCACGUAGGCGGAUUGGAAAGUAUGGGGUGAAAUCCCAGGGCUCAACCCUGGAACUGCCUUGUAAACUCCCAGUCUAGAGUUCGAGAGAGGUGAGUGGAAUUCCAAGUGUAGAGGUGAAAUUCGUAGAUAUUUGGAGGGACACCAGUGGCGAAAGCGGCUCACUGGCUCGAUACUGACG
rnacentral:rRNA from 1 species